rnacentral:rRNA from 1 species
UGCCAGCAGUCGCGGUUACACCAAAGAGUUAAGUCAUAUAAUAAUGGUAAAAAGACAGUUAGACAUAAUUUUUAAGGUUUACUUAGCUUUUAUAAAAAGGUAAAAUUUGUAUAUAAUUGUAUAUUUUAAUAAAAACCGAAAAGUUGAAUCUGUGACAGCCUGGAGGGAAACUGGGAUUAGAUACCCCAUUAUUCCUGGAUAUAAACUAAAUUUAAAUUUACCAGAGUACUAUGAAUACAUAAAAUUUAAAACUCAAAGGACUUGGCGGUAUUUUAGACCACUUAGGGGAACCUGUCUCAUAAUCGAUAAUCCACGUUAUACCUAACCUUUUUUUGCUUUCAGCUUGUAUAUCGUUGUCGUCAGGUAACUUUUUAGAAAUUAGGAGUUAGCUAAAAACAAUAAAUUAAAACGUCAAAUCAAGGUGCAGUUAAUAAAAAGGGGAAGAUGGGUUACAAUUAUUUUAUUUAUAAUUACGGAAAACUAUAAGAAUUUUGCAGUUAAGAAGGAGGACUUAAAAGUAAAUUAAAUUAUAUAAAUAAUUUGAAUAAGGCUCUGAAAUGUGCACACAUCGCCCGCCGCUCU